GGAGCUUGAGGAAAAUCACCACUGCUGCUGCUCAUGGCCAUGCUUGGCUCAGCCCAAUGCCUCAAGUGCCCAGACUUCCACUCUGAUGAUGCUUUUCUGUGUUAUUUUACAAAAGGCCUAUAUCUAACAGCCAUGAUGAAGAGAGAGCAAAGCUGAAAAGCUGGCAGUACCAGUUCACACACACAGGAAUCAUAAUCCCCCUUCCAUGACACUUAAAGGCUCUGAUUUGUCAAUAAACAAAUUCAGGUUGUCAUUCAUGGGAAAA